rnacentral:tRNA from 2 species
GCGGGCGUAGUUCAUCGGUAGAACCGUAGCUUCCCAAGCUACUGAGGUGGGUUCGACUCCCAUCGCCCGCUCCA